rnacentral:lncRNA from 1 species
CACCUACCCUCCAGAUGUGGUGGGAGACGCCUUUAUGUAACAUGAAUCUGUAUGAUGAAUUCUUGCUCAUAUUGAAGACAUGAAAUUCCUAUGUGUAGGAUAUGUACUUUGAGUUCAUUAUCCCUAAAAGCAAGUCAUGGAUAUGCUUAAGUUAUCUGAGUGCUUUCUCUGGAGACCAGUGGAAUGCUUCGAGGUUCUUCCAUCUGGCAGGUGUCAAAGAAGACAACAGGAACCAUGAGCAGAACCACUUGGAACUGCAAACUCUUUGGGCCAAGGACAGACUUCUUCUCCAGGUCUGGUUUGGUUCGCAAAUUCCUGGCUGUCAUAGCAACCUGAAAAGCAAAGGAAGACUGUUUAGUGUCGUCUUUGACUGCAGCCUGGGCUCGGAAUGCGCUCAGGUUGGCCCAGUAAACAGUGUUCACCGGUAACCACUCUGUGUCUCUCCCUCUGGGCCCAGGGAUGGGUGAGGCAGGGAGCUCACCAGGCUCAAGUCAUCUGGCUGCACAGCUUCUCACCUAGUGUCACUCAGCUCCCCUCUGCUGCUCUGUCUCCCAGUGGCUCUGCCAGAUCUAACAUGGGGAGGGAAUUUCCAGAAGAGGCCUAUUGGGAGAUGGAGUCAACUCCACAGUGGAAGCAAAUGCCUGCCGCCCACAUGAAGAUGUGUGAAGAUGACUUGGGGAGGGGGAGCCGACAGCAUUUCCAUGGUAACCUCAAGCAUCCCUGUGAAGUCAUCAUUGUGCUCUUCUGACCUAUUCAAACCCUGGCAACCAGGGCUGUUUAUCUCUAGGGAUUGAGUUCAAGAUCUAAAAAUGUGAAAGACUUAAACUGAAAUGAAUAGGCACCUCACUUGCUAAGAAGUAGGUCUACAAAGACAUGUGAUGUCAUGUUCAUUAAUCGUUACAUUGAUUGUUACAAGAUUUUUACACAUUUGACAACAAUUUACAGAAUUGUUGCAAUUUACAUUGCAAGAAUUCCUGAUUAUGCACAGUGAUUGCCGAGAAAUCAUUGUUG